GGUUAAGCGACUAAGCGUACACGGUGGAUGCCCUGGCAGUCAGAGGCGAUGAAGGACGUGCUAAUCUGCGAUAAGCGUCGGUAAGGUGAUAUGAACCGUUAUAACCGGCGAUUUCCGAAUGGGGAAACCCAGUGUGAUUCGUCACACUAUCAUUAACUGAAUCCAUAGGUUAAUGAGGCGAACCGGGGGAACUGAAACAUCUAAGUACCCCGAGGAAAAGAAAUCAACCGAGAUUCCCCCAGUAGCGGCGAGCGAACGGGGAGCAGCCCAGAGCCUGAAUCAGUGUGUGUGUUAGUGGAAGCGUCUGGAAAGGCGUGCGAUACAGGGUGACAGCCCCGUACACAAAAAUGCACAUACUGUGAGCUCGAUGAGUAGGGCGGGACACGUGGUAUCCUGUCUGAAUAUGGGGGACCAUCCUCCAAGGCUAAAUACUCCUGACUGACCGAUAGUGAACCAGUACCGUGAGGGAAAGGCGAAAAGAACCCCGGCGAGGGGAGUGAAAAAGAACCUGAAACCGUGUACGUACAAGCAGUGGGAGCACGCUUAGGCGUGUGACUGCGUACCUUUUGUAUAAUGGGUCAGCGACUUAUAUUCUGUAGCAAGGUUAACCGAAUAGGGGAGCCGAAGGGAAACCGAGUCUUAACUGGGCGUUAAGUUGCAGGGUAUAGACCCGAAACCCGGUGAUCUAGCCAUGGGCAGGUUGAAGGUUGGGUAACACUAACUGGAGGACCGAACCGACUAAUGUUGAAAAAUUAGCGGAUGACUUGUGGCUGGGGGUGAAAGGCCAAUCAAACCGGGAGAUAGCUGGUUCUCCCCGAAAGCUAUUUAGGUAGCGCCUCGUGAAUUCAUCUCCGGGGUAGAGCACUGUUUCGGCAAGGGGGUCAUCCCGACUUACCAACCCGAUGCAAACUGCGAAUACCGGAGAAUGUUAUCACGGGAGACACACGGCGGGUGCUAACGUCCGUCGUGAAGAGGGAAACAACCCAGACCGCCAGCUAAGGUCCCAAAGUCAUGGUUAAGUGGGAAACGAUGUGGGAAGGCCCAGACAGCCAGGAUGUUGGCUUAGAAGCAGCCAUCAUUUAAAGAAAGCGUAAUAGCUCACUGGUCGAGUCGGCCUGCGCGGAAGAUGUAACGGGGCUAAACCAUGCACCGAAGCUGCGGCAGCGACGCUUAUGCGUUGUUGGGUAGGGGAGCGUUCUGUAAGCCUGUGAAGGUGUGCUGUGAGGUAUGCUGGAGGUAUCAGAAGUGCGAAUGCUGACAUAAGUAACGAUAAAGCGGGUGAAAAGCCCGCUCGCCGGAAGACCAAGGGUUCCUGUCCAACGUUAAUCGGGGCAGGGUGAGUCGACCCCUAAGGCGAGGCCGAAAGGCGUAGUCGAUGGGAAACAGGUUAAUAUUCCUGUACUUGGUGUUACUGCGAAGGGGGACGGAGAAGGCUAUGUUGGCCGGGCGACGGUUGUCCCGGUUUAAGCGUGUAGGCUGGUUUUCCAGGCAAAUCCGGAAAAUCAAGGCCGAGGCGUGAUGACGAGGCACUACGGUGCUGAAGCAACAAAUGCCCUGCUUCCAGGAAAAGCCUCUAAGCAUCAGGUAACAUCAAAUCGUACCCCAAACCGACACAGGUGGUCAGGUAGAGAAUACCAAGGCGCUUGAGAGAACUCGGGUGAAGGAACUAGGCAAAAUGGUGCCGUAACUUCGGGAGAAGGCACGCUGAUACGUAGGUGAAGCGACUUGCUCGUGGAGCUGAAAUCAGUCGAAGAUACCAGCUGGCUGCAACUGUUUAUUAAAAACACAGCACUGUGCAAACACGAAAGUGGACGUAUACGGUGUGACGCCUGCCCGGUGCCGGAAGGUUAAUUGAUGGGGUUAGCGCAAGCGAAGCUCUUGAUCGAAGCCCCGGUAAACGGCGGCCGUAACUAUAACGGUCCUAAGGUAGCGAAAUUCCUUGUCGGGUAAGUUCCGACCUGCACGAAUGGCGUAAUGAUGGCCAGGCUGUCUCCACCCGAGACUCAGUGAAAUUGAACUCGCUGUGAAGAUGCAGUGUACCCGCGGCAAGACGGAAAGACCCCGUGAACCUUUACUAUAGCUUGACACUGAACAUUGAGCCUUGAUGUGUAGGAUAGGUGGGAGGCUUUGAAGUGUGGACGCCAGUCUGCAUGGAGCCGACCUUGAAAUACCACCCUUUAAUGUUUGAUGUUCUAACGUGGACCCGUGAUCCGGGUUGCGGACAGUGUCUGGUGGGUAGUUUGACUGGGGCGGUCUCCUCCUAAAGAGUAACGGAGGAGCACGAAGGUUGGCUAAUCCUGGUCGGACAUCAGGAGGUUAGUGCAAUGGCAUAAGCCAGCUUGACUGCGAGCGUGACGGCGCGAGCAGGUGCGAAAGCAGGUCAUAGUGAUCCGGUGGUUCUGAAUGGAAGGGCCAUCGCUCAACGGAUAAAAGGUACUCCGGGGAUAACAGGCUGAUACCGCCCAAGAGUUCAUAUCGACGGCGGUGUUUGGCACCUCGAUGUCGGCUCAUCACAUCCUGGGGCUGAAGUAGGUCCCAAGGGUAUGGCUGUUCGCCAUUUAAAGUGGUACGCGAGCUGGGUUUAGAACGUCGUGAGACAGUUCGGUCCCUAUCUGCCGUGGGCGCUGGAGAACUGAGGGGGCUGCUCCUAGUACGAGAGGACCGGAGUGGACGCAUCACUGGUGUUCGGGUUGUCAUGCCAAUGGCACUGCCCGGUAGCUAAAUGCGGAAGAGAUAAGUGCUGAAAGCAUCUAAGCACGAAACUUGCCCCGAGAUGAGUUCUCCCUGACCCUUUAAGGGUCCUGAAGGAACGUUGAAGACGACGACGUUGAUAGGCCGGGUGUGUAAGCGCAGCGAUGCGUUGAGCUAACCGGUACUAAUGAACCGUGAGGCUUAACCUU
rnacentral:rRNA from 1 species